rnacentral:rRNA from 1 species
GUUGGAGCCGUCCUUGAAAUACCACCCUUGUAUGUUUGAUGUUCUAACUUAGACCCGUUAUCCGGGUUGAGGACAGUGCCUGGUGGGUAGUUUGACUGGGGCGGUCUCCUCCCAAAGAGUAACGGAGGAGCACGAAGGUGGGCUAAUCACGGUUGGACAUCGUGAGGUUAGUGCAAUGGCAUAAGCCCGCUUAACUGCGAGAAUGACGGUUCGAGCAGGUGCGAAAGCAGGUCAUAGUGAUCCGGUGGUUCUGUAUGGAAGGGCCAUCGCUCAACGGAUAAAAGGUACUCCGGGGAUAACAGGCUGAUACCGCCCAAGAGUUCAUAUCGACGGCGGUGUUUGGCACCUCGAUGUCGGCUCAUCACAUCCUGGGGCUGAAGUCGGUCCCAAGGGUAUGGCUGUUCGCCAUUUAAAGUGGUACGCGAGCUGGGUUUAGAACGUCGUGAGACAGUUCGGUCCCUAUCUGCCGUGGGCGUUGGAAGAUUGAAGGGGGCUGCUCCUAGUACGAGAGGACCGGAGUGGACGAACCUCUGGUGUUCGGGUUGUGUCGCCAGACGCAUUGCCCGGUAGCUAAGUUCGGAAUUGAUAAGCGCUGAAAGCAUCUAAGCGCGAAGCGAGCCCUGAGAUGAGUCUUCCCUGACAGUUUAACUGUCCUAAAGGGUUGUUCGAGACUAGAACGUUGAUAGGCAGGGUGUGUAAGCGUUGUGAGGCGUUGAGCUAACCUGUACUAAUUGCCCGUGAGGCUU